rnacentral:tRNA from 1 species
GGAGGGAUUAGCUCAGUGGUAGAGUGUGUGUUUCGCAUACAUGAGGUCCUGGGUUAAAUCUCCAGUACCUCCA